rnacentral:lncRNA from 1 species
UUGGGUGAGCAUUCUAGAUCUAUUCUAAGGUUUUGGGAGAAGAAAUAUCUAAGAGAAAAAAAUUUCUUCUCUCCUUCUUUCUACACCACAUAUUCCUCCUAAUCUAUCUUUAGAUCUGGAGGAGUUCAAGAUGUCAGAAGAUAGAAGAUAGAUCAGCCAUCUAGAGGUCAUUAUGCGAGCUAGCACUCUCGAGAUGAUGGAUCAGAACAGGA